CCCUUGGAUACCAUGGACACUGAAAAAUGAGUAUUUAAAUGUGAAGAAAUGUUCUAUCAUGUAGUAUAAUGACUACUCAAUUUGGAAUCUAGUGCCAUUUGUUCCACUUACUAACAAUGUGAUUCUGGCUCAUUCUACAGAUGAAGAAACUGAGGCAAAUGAAGGUCACACAACAAUCAAGAGGGGAACAGACGGGACUAUUUCACUGACUGAAAGCACCAGCAUUUUUGCCUCUACCAAGAAUUCUUUGUACUAGUACACCAAAGGACAAAAAGCAAUGUUGGCCUUUGU
rnacentral:lncRNA from 1 species